UUUUAAAUUGAGAGUUUGAUCCUGGCUCAGGACGAACGCUGGCGGCGUGCCUAACACAUGCAAGUCGAGCGAUGAAACUUCCUUCGGGAAGUGGAUUAGCGGCGGACGGGUGAGUAACACGUGGGUAACCUGCCUCAAAGAGGGGGAUAGCCUCCCGAA
rnacentral:rRNA from 1 species